rnacentral:misc_RNA from 1 species
UAGCCGUCUUUGGACGUGACGCGACAGAGGUCUCCUCCUCUUGCCGGGCGCAUGGUGCACCUGAGAAGGGCUUGUCGGCCGGCUUCAGUGUGCAGCGGACCGUUCGGUGGGAAACUCAGUGGGGGCACAUGGAUGGUUGGUGGGGAGCGACGAGCUUAGCUCUCGCGCCCUGCUAACUGCGCACGUUAGGGCAACCUGACGCGGCGCCACUCAGUGAACUACUCAGCCCUGCGUGCAGGGCGCGCGGGAGAGCGUGCUCUCCCGACACGAUAGUUACCUGG